CGCGUAGGCGGGUCCGCAAGUCGGUCGUGAAAUCCUUCGGCUCAACCGAAGGGGGUCGGUCGAUACUGCGGGUCUUGAGGGAUGCAGAGGAGACUGGAAUUCCCAGUGUAGCGGUGAAAUGUGUAGAGAUCGGGAGGAACACCGGUGGCGAAGGCGGGUCUCUGGGCAUCUCCUGACGCUGAGGCGCGAAAGCGUGGGGAGCAAACG
rnacentral:rRNA from 1 species